GCCCGCGGUGGGGGCGUUGCGGGGCGGCGGGCGAUCUCGACGUGGCAGCCGGAGGGAGGGAGCCGUGACCUUCCUGCCCAGCGAGCGGCGGGGCUGCUUCCCCCCGUCGUGAGCCGCCUUUAAUUCGCUUCGUCUGCGCCACCUCUCGGGUGUCGCGGUACGCGGAACGCUGGUUUGCGUGUGCUUUCACCAAUCCUUGUUCUCGGCCUGUAGAUCGUACAGGGUUUUGUUCUUUCGUCUCCAAACAGGAUAACCUUCCUGGGCCUGUCAGGCCAGAGAAGGCCCCAGGGGCCUACAGCUCCCGAGGUUGAGUCACCAGCCCCGGGGGAGCACCCCUGGCUCAGAGCUCAGCAUAUCCCAUGUGCUGUGUGCACAUCAGCACGUAAGGACAGGUCCCAGUGGCGAAUGGAGAGCGCCAAAGCAGCCACGGCGCAACCUCAGCGCCAUGGAGAUCGGCUGCCCAGAGAGGUUGUGGAGUCUCCUUCUCUGGAGACACUCAAGACCCACCUGGGCACCUACCUGUGCAACGUGGUCUAGGGAGCCUGCUUUGCAGGAGGGUUGGACUAGAUGAUCUCUACAGGUCCCGUCCAGCCCUUCAGUUGUGUGUUUCUGUGAUUCUAUGGGACGGGCAGGUGGAUGCUGCUUCAUAUCAGGCUUGCACUGCAGCCUUCCAAUAGGCCUUCUCUAGUGCAGAAAACGUUUUCAAAGAUGUCACCAAAAAAUUGAUGUUGUUUUGAAAAAUUCCAGCAAGGUAAUAUGACAACACAGAAGAUUUCAAAGAGCCAUAUUUCCUAAGAGCUCAACGCCCAUAACUGGCUUAAUAGAUGGAAUUAAAUGUUGAGCUUUAUGUAAGUACGACUGAAUGCAUGGCAAUGGGAGGUUUUUGUGUUGUAAGGAACUCCCCAAAUGUGUUUUUUCAUGCACGUUGAAGGUGGACUCUAAAAAUGUGACCCCCAAUGUGUGUCUUUUUUUCAGAAAUCUGGUCUCACAGUGUCCAAGGUUCCUGCAGGGGCUCUGGAGCACCUCCCCUAUGAGGAGAGGCUGGGAGAGCUGGGGGCUCUUCAGCCUGGAGAAGGCUCCAAGAAGACCUUAUAGUGGCCUUCCAGUACCUGAAGGGGGUCCUACAGGAAAGCUGGGGAGGGACUUUUUAUAAGGGCAGGUAGAAACAGGAUGAGGGGAAAUUGCUUUAAACUGGAAGAGGGUGGUUUUAGACUAGAUGUAAGGAAGAACUUCUAUACUGUGAGGGUGGUGAGACACUGGAACAGGUUGCCCAGUGAGGCUGUGAAUGUCCCCUCCCUGGAAGCAUUCAAGGCCAGGCUGGGUGGGGCUGUGAGCAACCUGGUCUAGUGGGAGGUGUCCCUGCCUAUAGCGGGGCGUUGGAACUAGGUGUUCUUAAAGGUCCGUUCCAACCCAAACCAUUCUAUGAUUCUAUGAAAAUUCUUUCUUUAGAUAGACACUGAUCUAUACUGCAGGAUUAUGGAUGUCAGCCCUAGGAGCUGGCAUGGUUGGCUUCAUGAGGAGCUACAUCUUGGCCUUCUGCAGUGGGCACUGCUGGAAAAUAAUGGUGUGCCCCAUCUUUUCUAUUUGCUACUUUGCUUACAAAGAGUAUUGGCCUCUUGAAGUCUGGUAGAAAAAUAUCCAUUCUGCAAUGAAAAUUUAAUGGGAUACUUGAAAUACAAAAUGUAAUAAAAUUUGCUUAAACAGCAGAAUGAUAGAUUAUACUGGUUUUGUAUGCUGAUAAUUUUGUUUGUAAGGUCAAUAUAUUUUUCACACACAAAUAUUUAUAUAAUUUUAACUUCCUUAGUUUUUAGCAAAGCACUCUUAAAGUGCUCUUAAGUUCAGGGUUUUUGUUUUUUACAAUGUCACCCUUAAACUGGCAAUCAAGUGCUGGUUUUCUAAUGGAGUACAGUUUGAAAUGAAAGGAGUGGUAGCAACUGUUUUACUAAUAGACAUUUAUAUACUUCUAGAAGAUUAAUUAAAAGCCAUUAUACUUUGUUUUCUCUGCUUUUAUGCUUCUUUCCAUGCUUUUAUGCUUCAGCAUAGACUAUGCACUUGUUUUGGAAAGUAUUAGCUGUUAUGAUACAGGCUGUUGCACAACUCAGCCACCCUAACUUGCCAAAUAAAUUCAUAUUAUGUAAGUAGUUUGUUUCUGACGUUGCCCUACAUAACAUGGGGUGACGGAAUAACAAACAUUGAAUCAUAGGAUUUGUCUGAAGGUGAAAGAGACCUGUAAGAAGCAUUGACUCCAGCUUCUGGCUCCACACAGGACCACCAAAAAUCAGACCGUCAUUCAGGAACAGCUGAAAGCUUUAUACUGAAGUUUUCCAGAAGUGUGUCCUGAGGCAAAUAUCCAGCGUGGAAAAUUCCAGACUGAACAAUUAAUACAUGGUUCUUCCGGAGUCCUAUCAGUUCAGUUUUCCUGUGUUUGGCCACCUGACCAAAUCAUUCCAGCCUCAUCAGUGCUAGCACACGUCCCUCCAGCAGAUGGCAGAUACUGCUCAUCCAAUGCAACCCCGACACCCUGCUCAGCACGUCAGCCGUGGGACCCGGAACACCAAUAAAACAGGAGCUAAAUCUUUAAUGACUCUCUUCAGAGAAUGACCAACUUCUGAAAGCAUAGAGGUAAUUCCUAGGCAGUAUCAUCACUCCUGAACAGAAAUGUUACUCUGAUGUUUAACAUAUAUAUUGAAGUACUCCACGAACACCUAGAAAUAAACAGAUCUGGAAAUUCUUAAUUCUGAUAAGAAGUUUCUUGGCAAAACUAGAUAAUAGCAGAUGAUGUUUUAUUUAUAUUAUUACUAUUGCUGUUACUACUGUGUGGAUAGAAGUUCUACCCAUGCUUACUGUUGAACCCAUUUCAUCCACCGAAAAUAACCACAAACAACUGUGAAGGACUUUUCCAUUGAGUAUCCAGCAUAAACUUGAAUGACACAGCAGCUGUUUAUGCUGAAGACAAUUUAAUCAGAAUAAGAGUUUCAGAAUUUGCUUUUGAAAUAAAGGUAUUUCCUCUGAGAUAUAUGCCAAAGGCUAAGAAUUGAAGCCAUGAGCAAGUCCUGUUUCCUCCUGCUUUGUAACUAGCAGGGAUGAAUAUCUCCAGGAUAACAUUUAACACUUUUCAAAGUCCUACUUUCAGGCCAGUGUGACAUAUGACAUUAAGUGUUUAUUAAUGCCUGCCUUCAGUAUGUAACGUUGAACUGCUAGACUUCAAAGAUGGAUAAGAAGACAAACAGCUUUUCUAUUCUAGGUUAUACGUGCAGUCAGAUGGGGGACUCAGGUGGCAGGGGAUACAUUGUUGAUCUUCUCGCAUCACACAGUUUCUUGUGCAAUAUGAUUUUUGUGAAGAAUUGGCAGCAAGUGACAACCCGUCAUAAAAUGCCUUCUCAGGAGCCAGUAUACUUGCAAAAUAUUUUCUUCAUUCUUCUAUACAUACUGUGUUGCUGUGUCAUCUCUCUGAUAAGGAUUAGGAGAUUUGUUUGGGUUUUGGUCUGGUUUGUUAAGAGCUAAUUGUUGAGUGCUCCUUACUUUUUGUGUGUCUGGAAGGAGAGAAAGACAAAGGAAGGGAAAAAGAUAAAGCUUGAAUGCCUAAGCCCCUUCUUAUCUUCCCUUCUUCCCUCUUCAUUGCUGUAGGCAUUGGCUGUCUGAAACAUGAAUGUUUUCAUGCAUAAAGUAAAACAACAAUCCUCUUGAUCUUAGGAGAGGUAGUUUUUCUUUCUUCUAGAAUGAAAACGUAUAAGCCUGAUGUGGCAUAAAUAGUGCUAUAUGUAACACAUUUAUCAUUCCUGCUCUGUUCAUCUAUACAGACCGAGGCAUGAAAGAAUAAAGCAGGAAAACAGCGGUAAGAAAGAGGAACUAUUGAGGUUUAAAUCUGAUUUAGCACUGCUGGCAGUUCUACUCUGUGGGAUUACAAUCAGCAUUACUUUACAUAAAUUUGCUUACACUAUCUGAUUUUUAAAAGUAACUUGGAAAUUGGCUGUGUCCUGGACUUUUGAUUUAGGCGUGAGAUCUCCUAAGCACAAAGUUCCUCUAUCCCCGCAUUGCUGGAACUUUAUGUACAGUAUUUCCCAGAUUGAGUAUACACAGGAGCAAGGAGUGGUGGAGAAAGGGCAGUCUGAGCCCUGUUGUGAUUUAGCACAAGUAUGAAAAAUGCAGUCUGAAUCCAGUUGGAUGUAGUAGGAGAGGGAGCACUCUUGUCGCAGUACCCGAGAUUGCAUAGAGUUGGGCUUGAGUUUCUCAGCCGUACUGCAAAGCACUGCAAUCAUCAGACAACCACAUUCCCUUCCACUGGUAGCUCCCAUGGGAGAUAGGUACCUGAAAACUUUGAAGGUCUGCGUCUACUGUGUCAUCAUCUUGGUUUCUCAAAAUCUUCCCUGGAUUCUCUGUGCAAAUACAGAGUGCUUCCUCUUAAUAGUUAAUUUUGUUUGAAUCUUUAAGACUGUAGCUCCUUAUAGUUACUGUGUUGUGCAAGCAGCUAUAUAAACAUUUGCUGUUAUUAUUUAAUGUUUUUCUUUUUCCUUUUCCAUUUGAUCUUCUCCCAGAUUAGACUGCAAGUCUCUUAGGGCAGGGACAGCAUCUAGUUGAAUUUCUGCAGGGCCUGCUAAAAGCAGCUUCAUAGGUUUCUAUGGUUCCAUAUAUAUAUGACUGAAGAUGUAGACAUCUGGACCGAUGCUCCUGCUAGGGGCCAAGUGCUGCCAUCACUUUCUGCAAGAGCAUACAACAAGACCUCCCAGCACCCUCACAGAGGAGAGAGAAGCUCUUCAGAAGAACCCUGAACCAGAACACAACAGCAGCAUUACUUCAUUGAUGAGACAACACAAUUAAUCAUAGUGUGGAAAUGCUUGUUUGGUGAACACAAGCAUCAGUCAGAAGGUCCCGAGCCUUCAUGGAGGUGGCUUUCAUCUCCACUCAUCCCAGCAAGGCUGUGCAUUCCUGUCACAGAAGAUCCCUGACACUGCGGAUGGGAAAUCCUUUCUGAUCCUGUCAGAUUGUCUGGGAGAAAGGUGCUGGUGAGAAGCAGUUUGUUUGUAGGGUGAGAGUUUGGAGAACCAGCAUCAGUCCCGAAGUGCUGAAGGUUUCUGCAUAUCCUGGUGGCCUGGGGUCAACCCUGGAGAUGCAGAGGCUCAUCCCAACUGCAGUGAAAUGUCCAUGACCACUCACAGGGAGCUGGAUCAGGAGGCCAAUUUAGCAGAAAACCAGCACUGGAAAAUGCAAACAGUUGGGUGCUGGUUUAGCUCUCCAGCCUCAUUCAUUGUUGAGUAGCAAAGAUAAUCAGUACAAGAAAAUGUUUGAGAGAAAUUUGGAAGGUGUGAUAGGAAGGUGUCCUUGUCCUUUUAAGCAGCAGCUGGCCAGAUGUGCUGCACAGAUGCUGAGGCAGUGGAGAAGCUGAAGCACCAUCUGUCACUCUACAGGGGAUUCCAUUUGUCUGGAACAUAGGGAUCAUAACUCCCUGUCCUCCUCAGCCUGCCCCUCGAACCAGGCAGCAGGAACACUUGUCCAUUCCUGUGCUAUACAGACAACACACAGUUUUUACCUCAGUACAACACACUGUGAGAAAAAUAGCCCCAAAUUGUGUUCUUUUGCAUCUGCUGAAUGUAGAUCUACGAAUCCAUCGCUCCUGCCAUCUGUGCUUGUCCAAGAGUCUGGUAAAACUGGCAUUGGAAUUCUCUUCCUAGAAUGGAAAGACAUGUGGGGUCAUUCCUAUAGCUAAUAAGGUGGAUAAUACUCAAAAUUAUGUCUACCAUUAGUGGCUGGACCACUAGUAAGUAACGCAGUAUCUUUAACCUUCCAACAAUAAACAUGAUGGAAACGGACACUUCCAGAAAUCCUUGUGGGGAAUUAUAGGCUCCCUUAAGAUGAGCUGAGGAGAGAAAAAUAAAAUUGUGCCUGAAGAAGCAUGACACAAAGAAAACCAGAUGAACCUGAAGUCCACUGAAAAUAUGUAUGCUGGUCCCCAUUUUGGAUGCAGCCAAUGGAUGCCACCAAUACCCAAAAGACCUUCCUCACAUUCCAGCUCUCUGAAGGUGGUGCCCUCCUACAGGCUCUGAAAACAGCCUGCCUGGGCCUUUGGAGUCAGCUUCCAUGCUCCUGACACUCACAGCUCUGUUUACAUUGCAGGAGGAAUAUUGAGAACUAUAUUUGGUAUUCAGUGUUUCCAUACUAAUAGAGUUGUCUAGAUGGCCACAACUCCGCACAAUCAUACUGCUACUGUUUCCUCAUCUACUGAUGGCACUCAUGCUUUCUUCCAUUUCCAGGAUCCUCUGGCACCAACUCCUGCGUGCUUCAUCCUUCUGUCCCUCUCUACCCUUCACUUUCUUGAUCCCAAUACUCCAGCUUCUCCUUAUGCAACUGAGAACAAAGCUAUAAAAAGAAGAUAUUUGUUUCUAUGUAAACUCUGUUUUCAAAGAUAACCAACCAACCAACCAA